rnacentral:lncRNA from 1 species
AAGCUCAAAGGCGAAGCUUUGUUGAGAAACGAUGGCUGUUACGUACGAUCCAAACACACCUUGGCCUUUUGCUGUCUUGGCGAAGUUUAUCGAAGUACGUGAAUACCCAGGCUUUCAUCAGAUAUACAGGAAUGGGCUAACUGGACGUCCUCACUAUGAAACUGACCUCGUUAACAUGGGGCCAAUAACUAAUUAUUGGACUUGCCGCGUCUUCAUGUUGAGAGUUGACAUGGAAUCAGGCUGUUAGGAGCCCUUUAUAAAACAGUGUACUGGGUCCAAGACUCCAAGAAUAUGCUAUCGUUAAGGUCAGGCAAUACUCGUGAUAUUUCUGGAGAAUAAAAAG